UCUCCGUGAGUUGCAUGCUUCUGACAACAACCUGACGGGUGAAAUUCCUAGAAGCAUUGGAGAAUGCCAGGUCAUGGAGUAUCUGUAUAUGGAAGGUAACCAAUUCCAAGGGAUCAUUCCCCAAUCAAUGAGCAAUUUGAAAGGUAUUCAAGAAUUAGAUCUUUCACGCAACAACUUGACCGGUGACAUCCCUCAAUUUCUAGAGGAGUUUAGAUCUCUGACCUAUUUGAAUCUAUCUUUCAACAAUUUUGAAGGAGAGCUGCCAGCCAGACUCUUUGAAAAUCUGAGUGCCUUUUCAGUUGUUGGUAAUGACGACCUUUGUGGUGGUAACCCAAAAUUGCAGUUGAAGCCAUGCCCCCUACAAAACCAUAAGAGAAGACACAAAUCACUGCUAAUCAAAGUAAUCAUCCCAAUUGCUGCUGUGUUUCUAUGCCUGAUCCUACUAAUAUGUUUGCUAGCUAUUCGUUCUUGGUUAGAUGAUUCAAGAAAGAAAUCUCCACUAAACACUCCCUUGGAAAACCAACACGUCAGGAUCUCUUACACUCAGCUGCUUAAAGCAACUGAUGGAUUCUCUGCAGCAAAUUUGAUUGGGACUGGAAGUUACGGCUCGGUGUACAAAGGGAUUAUCAAUCUUGGUGAAGAAAAGAUUGUGGCUGUCAAGGUACUAAACCUUCUACAGAAAGGAGCAUCCAGGAGUUUCACAGCUGAAUGUAAUGCCUUGAGAAGUACCCGACAUCGAAAUCUGGUCAGAGUAAUAACAUCCUGUUCCAGUGUGGAUUAUAAAGGGAAUGAUUUCAAAGCUAUAGUUUAUGAGUUCAUGCCUAAUGGGAGCCUAGAGAAUUGGUUACAUUCAGAAGAAAGUGAUCAAAGUCAAGAGAGAAACCUCAGCCUCAUCCAGAGGUUGAACAUAGCCAUAGAUGUAGCUUCUGCAUUGGAUUAUCUUCAUCAUGAUGGCCCAACUCCAGUCGUUCAUUGUGAUCUCAAGCCAAGUAAUGUUCUUCUCGAUAACAACAUGACUGCUCAUGUGGGUGACUUCGGGCUGGCCAGGUUUCUUACCAAAACUGUUAGUAAGUCAUCUCAGAAUACAUCCAUAUCAGUUGGAGUGAUGGGGACAAUUGGGUAUGUUGCCCCAGGUGAGGAUUUAAUGCAUUCCUUCCUUCAAGUUUGACAUGCUGGUUUUCCAAAAUCAUGAGUUCUCUAACAUAGGCAAUAUGCUAAUAAAACUUAUAAAGCAUUAAACUGUUAUAGCCCAAGUUUUUUCUAAAAUUUUGAGUUUUUAAAACAACUUCAAUUGAUGUUCAAAACUAGCACUAUGCUAAUGAAAUCAUAAAUAAUUAGUUUUACAAGCUCAAACUGAAUCUUCAUUAGAAAUAUGCCUAAUUUUUUACCAAAAUAUUCUUUUUGUGCAUCAAUUUUCAAAAUACAAAUUUUGAAUAUAUUUGCUUUCCCUUUACCUGAUUCUGUAUCACAAAAAAAUAAACAACAUGCAUACUGAUUAAGUUUGUGUUAAAAUAAUAAAUUCCAUGGCAGAGUAUGGGGUAGCCAAUCAAGUCUCUGUUGAAGGAGAUGUUUACAGUUAUGGAAUACUUCUGCUAGAGAUGUUUACUGGGAAGAGACCAACUGAUGAGACAUUGAAAGAAGGCUUAGGCCUUCGCAAGUUUCUUGAAAUGGCCUUCACCGAAAGAGUCAUGGAUAUUGUAGAUCCACGCCUGCUAUCAAAAGAGAACAAUGGAGAAGCCAAUUAUAGAAUUCAGGACACUGGUAAUACAAGAAUACAGGAGUGCUUGGUUUCUGUUCUCGGAAUUGGCCUCUUGUGCUCAAAUGAAUCACCAAGGGAACGAAUGCAAAUGGCAGAUGUGAUAAAGGAAUUGCUUGCAGCUAGAGAUGCAUUAACUGGAGCAGGAACCUAUGGGGAUAGGAGACAGAGACCGUUUUAAUGGCAAAGGCCCGUCAGCCAUUGAAAACAAUGGAAUGAAGUAGGAAUAAAUAACAAUACAGUUUCUUUGAUACAUUGAAGAGAUCAUAUCUAAUUGUUUAUGACGGUCACCUAUGUAAGUUUUAUUCUUGAUUCUGCUAGUAAAAUUUCAAAUAAGCUGGAAGGAUUUUAUGCUCAGGAGAAGAGAUAUCAGAGAACCAUUUGCUUAAUCCGAGAUGCAAUGUUUGUACUCUUGUACUCUUUAUAUCUAUCAUUAACAUUAUAUUACAUAGUUAUAGACUUAUAGUGUUUUGCAUGAUCCAUGAAUCAACUCUGUUCCCUUCACUUACAAAUGGAUCUCAAGUUUUAUUUUCACAAUAUUGUCUAUGAUGAUAUGUAACAUAUGGAGUUGGCACAGCCUCAGCACAGAAGUAUCAAUCUGCUAUCAGUAUGAGACAUGUUAUGCAAUGAAACUUCAGUAAAGAACUAGAAAAAGAAACAUCAACACAGAUAACAAGCUGCUGAUCGAACAAAGAUUUUGAUUAUGUUAAUGCAUAAAAUUUACUUUCCGAAGUUAAGAAUUCUAGAUAAGUCCAGCCUGCCUCACACUAAAAUCAUAUAUGCAACCUUGAAUAUGGUCUAACGCAUGUUUAUAAUGCCAGCAUAUUGUCUUAGCUUUGUGCCUUGUUUAGCUCUAGAAGAAACAUGUCAGAGUAAGGCCAAGUAGGAGUGAGACUCAAGAAAUAGAUAUAACAUGCAAAUAAAACAUAAUUUCAAUCCAGACCUGGAUUCCUGUUUUUUCUAUUAGUGACUCCAAAAAUUUUCUCGAUAAUUCCCACAGCUCAGCUUGAGCCCAUCAGCAUCAGUCAAUUGUAAUUGAGGUAGUAAAAGUUAUAAUUGGGAGUAAAAAAAACAAAAACAAAAUAUUUAUGGCUGAAUCAAUAUCGGUAACAAGAAAUAUAUCGAUAGCAUACCUUUAGUACAUUAGAAAUAAGUGUGGAAGCACCGUUUGGGACUUAUCAUAAAGCAACUUGCAUAAAUUCCUCUCCUUAUUGUACUAAAAAAAUGCUCAUGUUUUUGGGCUCCAUACUUUUUUAUUCUCUUCUCAUGUAAAUUUGUAUUCAUAUUUCUUGUUAGAGAAAGUAAUCUCAAAAUUGGAUUGUGUUUGUGGAUUAAUAGAACUUGAGUAUGAUAUCUCCAGCUGGUCGGAGGCCUCUUAACAACAAUGUGGUCAUAGAAGAUCUCAACUUGAUUGGAGUCUCACUUCCUCUGGUUGUUAAGCAAUCUUUAGUCUUCCAACACAAGCAUGAGAAUAAAGCAGACCAAACUGGGUAAAGAGCAACAAAAAUUGAUCCCUUCAGCCGUGAUGUCAUGAAUUUGAAUGGAUAGGGGCCAAAGGUUCUUUAUGAACAAGUUCAAGUUGAAGGGCCAUCUAAUUAUUUAAACUAAGAAGGAACUUAGAUCUUUAAUCCAAAGAGGCAAGCAUUUUCAACUCUCGAAUCAAAAUACUGGAGACUCAUUCAUGACAAUAUCUGUUUGAACAUUUAAUCGUUGGUUUAGACCAAAGAAUAAAGGAAGAGGAUUUUGUUUGUUCGACACACUCAACCUUACCUCAGUAGUUGGGUGGUGAUUUGGUGCCUCGGUAUCUACUUGAAAAGAUGUCUCAAACUUGUUAUCCCCGAUCGUUCACAGGAAAAAUGAAAAUAAAUAAAUAAAUCGUAAGAAGGAAUCUGCUGGGAGAAAGAUUAGAUUAUGGAACGAUCGGAUGGUAACAGAUGAAAAAUUUGCUCUAGAGAACAAAGCACAUAAGACAGACACACUACAUUUGAUAUUCAGAGGGGGAAACUGAAUUCUUGCUAUGAACAUAAACCAAGACAAACAUUAUGAACUUACCAUCGCUCUCAUUCGUCCUGUAGAUAUAAACGUAGCGCUCUUUAGGCUCUCAGAUCGCAUCCGUCAAGUCUGAAGGCAAGACGCUGCAGAAAGGAGAAAUCCAGUAAAGAUAAAAUAAAAAAAUUUAAAAAAAAAAAGAAAAGAAAAAGAAAGAUAGACUAUGUUAUCAAGCAGUAAAACCAUCCUUUAUAAUUCAGAAAACGAAAAGAAAGACAAUUUUAUGAAGAUAAAAUGCAAACAAAGAACAUGGUUCUUGAAGAUCAUAGCAAAGAUUGCAGUUCUUGGAUAUUUGCAAUGCAAACCUAUCUACAUAUUUUAUCGGCAAACAAGAUUCAGUUUCGAAGUACAUGCCCUAAAAACCAGAAAGGCAAGAAACAAGUCGGUAUCGUAUCGAAUCUGAAGAUUAAACGUAAAUAAGGAUUUCAAGAACCUGUCGUCCUCCGAUUUUUGCGGCCGCUCUUGGUCAGCUGCCUCGGAUUGGGGAUCAGAUCCACGCGGUCGAAUUUCUGGAACUUGCGACGGGUAAAGAACUCUUCGGUUUCGCGAGGUGGCGGGCAGAGGAAGCGGAGAGUGGGUUUGGAAAAACUGUGCGCGUGAGGGUGGUGGUGGUGGUGACGGCGGCGGCGGCGAUGAUAAAGAGAGAAAGGGGAGAAAGAAGCAGCCAUCUUCGGCUUUUUUUUUUUUCUUGCCAACUGAUGAUGCCUUUCUUCGAACCAAGGCCGGCCCCAGAUAUCCCACUCCUG
rnacentral:lncRNA from 1 species